AGUCGAACGGCAGCACGGGAGCAAUCCUGGUGGCGAGUGGCGAACGGGUGAGUAAUACAUCGGAACGUGCCCAAUCGUGGGGGAUAACGCAGCGAAAGCUGUGCUAAUACCGCAUACGAUCUACGGAUGAAAGCAGGGGAUCGCAAGACCUUGCGCGAAUGGAGCGGCCGAUGGCAGAUUAGGUAGUUGGUGAGGUAAAGGCUCACCAAGCCUUCGAUCUGUAGCUGGUCUGAGAGGACGACCAGCCACACUGGGACUGAGACACGGCCCAGACUCCUACGGGAGGCAGCAGUGGGGAAUUUUGGACAAUGGGCGAAAGCCUGAUCCAGCCAUGCCGCGUGUAGGAUGAAGGCCUUCGGGUUGUAAACUGCUUUUGUACGGAACGAAAAGGUCUUUUCUAAUACAGAAGGCUAAUGACGGUACCGUAAGAAUAAGCACCGGCUAACUACGUGCCAGCAGCCGCGGUAAU
rnacentral:rRNA from 1 species